rnacentral:lncRNA from 1 species
GGGCAAAAAAAAUCUUAGCUUUGUGAAAUUCAAAAUUCCAGCCAAGGGACCUCUGAGGCCAGAGGUAUGGGGAAGCACAGGUCCCUCUAGAAGAGCUGGGCCUUCUGAGUUAGCGUCACCUCUGCCUGCACACACCAAGGCGUCUUGGGCUGGAAUGUCGUCUUUCAAUCUUUACUGAAUAAGCGAUCGCCAACAUCACGCUACUGUUUGAGGCAUGGACCUGGCGUGUGAAAAGCUGAGGUGCACCUGACCCCUUUGCACCUCCCUCUGCAACACCUGGAAUCUGGAGAGAAAACAUCUCUGUACCAUGCAGCUGCCUCUUCGGCCCAUUCCCACCACAUGAGCACUUUCUGGUUUACCCAUCAUCAGAGCAAAGGAAGUGGCCUCCGUUUGUCCUUGAAAGCACAGGGCAUUGUGCAAGGGAGAGGGAGCCUCACCUGUGCAGUCCAGAAUGUGUGCAACACUGAACUAAAACCACAGAACUUCCCAGCUUAGCCCAGCCACCUUGAGCAUGCUCAGAACACUCGCGAGAGCUACAGGGGGAGCAAAGUCACCUAACACAAAGCUCAUUUGAUGAUAAAGCAUUGAGGGCUUCAUGUAAUUUAUUGAAUACCAUACUGAUAUGAAAAACUGAAGCUGAAAGGGAACGCUUUCACACCAUCAAUAAGUCACACGCUCCUGAAUCGAAUCAUGAUGAAUCGGGGAGCACCUGUACAUAUUUGAAGAGAAAGGGUGAACGAAUGACACACAAAUCAAGUGCAAGUUUCUGCCUCUCUCAAACAAGUCACCUCAGAGCCUCACUUUCUUCAGCUGCAGAGCGGUACUGAUUGUAGGAAAGACCAGAGCACUUCUCUCCAUAGCUGUGCAGAGAGAAGCUCCUCCUAACCAGGCACAGUCAUGCAGAGGUUACUUAAACCAAGUAAACCUUUGCGCCAGCUUUCCAGGAGUCUCUCCAGCUCAUCCC